AACGAACGCUGGCGGCAUGCCUAACACAUGCAAGUCGAACGUGAUCCGGGGUUUCGGCCUCGGUGAAAGUGGCGGACGGGUGAGUAACGCGUGGGAACCUGCCCAGUGGUAGGGGAUAACCGCGGGAAACUGCGGCUAAUACCCUAUGCGCCCUGCGGGGCAAAGAUUGAUCGCCAUUGGAGGGGCCCGCGUCGGAUUAGGUAGUUGGUGGGGUAACGGCCUACCAAGCCAUCGAUCCGUAGCUGGUCUGAGAGGAUGAUCAGCCACACUGGGACUGAGACACGGCCCAGACUCCUACGGGAGGCAGCAGUGGGGAGUAUUGGACAAUGGGGGCAACCCUGAUCCAGCAAUGCCGCGUGAGUGAUGAAGGCCUUCGGGUUGUAAAGCUCUUUCGGCGGGGACGAUGAUGACGGUACCCGCAGAAGAAGCCCCGGCUAACUUCGUGC
rnacentral:rRNA from 1 species